rnacentral:rRNA from 1 species
CGGCGGACGGGUGAGUAACACGUGGAUAACUUACCUAUAAGACUGGGAUAACUUCGGGAAACCGGAGCUAAUACCGGAUAAUAUAUUGAACCGCAUGGUUCAAUAGUGAAAGACGGUUUUGCUGUCACUUAUAGAUGGAUCCGCACCGCAUUAGCUAGUUGGUAAGGUAACGGCUUACCAAGGCAACGAUGCGUAGCCGACCUGAGAGGGUGAUCGGCCACACUGGAACUGAGACACGGUCCAGACUCCUACGGGAGGCAGCAGGC